AUUUCAGCAGCAGAAGAGACGGUACAGAAGCCCAAGAGUGUGAGGAGGAGAAUGAUGGGGUGGGUUAACAAAACAAUUAAAACCUACAACCAGAAAAAAAUUGAGAGGACACACGAGAGAGAAGAGAAGGAGGGAGGCCACAUCUACUCUGCAUGGUAUCUAGAUGCACCCAUUUUAAGAGCAGAGAGGGAGCAACAAAAGAGAGAGGAACUCCUGAGGUCAGAGGAGAAACGGCAGAAGAGGGAAGAUAACUGGAGAAAGUGGGAGGCUAAAAGGGCUGAGAAAAAGGAGAAGAAGAGGGCUGAAAAGCAAGAAAAAUUGGUGAGGAAGAAGAAUAAAAAACAAGAAGACAAGCAGCAAAGACAGGACAUAUAUGAAAAUAUUCGACAACGACGUGAACAAAAGUUGCAACGAGAGGCUGCUCUCAACCAGUGAGCAGCCCUCUGGUCAGCCAUCUCCGGAGGACGGCCCGGGUGCCAGACAGAGCGUCGGAGUCGCUCAGGAGGGUGGCCAGGGUGCCGCAGGGCAGAGCGCCGGGGAGGCUCUGGAGUCAGGGGCACUGGAGAGCGCGGGGACUCGGGACUCAA